AAUGUGACUGAGACCACUACAAUGGCCAUGCCUAAUAAUUACUUAUUUUUAUAAGUGCUGGAUGCGUUUUACCCAACAUAAUAGCAGAUACAGACUUUUAAGCUUAAAACCUAAAUGUCAUAGCUCCAAACAUUUGGUUGUAUGUUGAAAUAACUCUCAAGCAAAAAUUGAUUUUGAAACGAGAGCUGUAAAUAAAUAAAAUAAAUGACAUAAACUCAUAAAUAUCUGGAAGAAAUGCUUAUAAAGAGGUCAGCCUUAAAAAUGUCAUGAGGUCUAAUGUGCCGCUCUUCUAUUUCUAUGGAUAGUACUUGGACAGGACAAGGACUCAAGGGUCUGCUGGUCCAUCUCUGCACCUUGAAACAGUGGCUAGGGCACCAGGAGUAAUGCUUCCAGCCAAAACCAUGUGGUUAGUGUGAGGAGUCCCUCCGGGUUAAGGAGUGUGUCAGCAUAAUGUGACCUGAAGAAGAGGUAUACCUCAUAGGCGCCCAGGAUCAAGGUCUCCGGCACACAUUGAAAUCCCCCAUGCCCAGGUGUGGUGAAGUGAAUCCCUCAGCUGGUGCUGGGCUUCCAGGGUGAGGCAUCCUGGAGAGGAUGUGCGGGGCGAAGGUCAUAUGAGCACCUGCAGCACUGGAAUGGGGUGUCACUGGCCUGUUAGGCCGUUGCUCACCAGGACCUCUCCUGAGCUCCUACGUGGCUUAGUGGUAAGUGUCCCAUCUACCCGACCCCGCAGCCCGGGUUUCUCCUCCACUUACAGACCCGUGCCCUCUUGGGGAGAAUGCCAGCCUCCCUGGAGACUCAGGCCCUGCAGGACCCACAUGCUGUCGUCUCUCAUGGGCUAGACACUCUCUGGUGCACAGGGAUUCCCAGACAGUGAAUCCCAAAGCCCUGCAGGUUCUGUUGCUUCUUCCCUGAAUGCCUGCCUUCCCCGACCGAACACACAGGAAGACACAGGUAGCUACUAGGUUUUAUUUCCCUCCGGAUGUCAUUUCAGGUCCAUGACAUCUCCUUUAGGUAGUUCGCCCAGCCACUCUUUUCCUCCUACCUCUGCCAUUCAUGAGAACUGUGAGGACUCUUCGUGUCUCCCCAGCGGGCAGGCUUCACGGGUCCUGAAGUUGGAUUGUCAAACCCAGUGGUCCCCUGCUUGCCAGCUCAAGAGCUGCGUUUGAGGCACACCUGUGGGUGGGAGUGUGGGCCCCACCUCUGGCCAAACAAAGGUACACAAGGGGAAACAGGUGCAGGUGUGUACAGGCGUGCACCAGCUCAAACAUGCAGGCUGGAACGUGCACACGCUCACAUUGGUACCAGGGAAACUGGGUGGGUGUCUGGGUGUCUACACCAAUACUCAGAUGAACCUUAAUGCUCAGCCACAUUCCCUUGCUGGACACACACAGAAGGUCCCCUGCCAUUUAAUUGAUCGUCUACAGUGGGAUUUAUUUUUACUUUUAUACUUUUUUAACUUACCAAAGUAUGUUGCAUUCUUUCCCCCAUCAUGAAAAAGACUUUGAUAUAAGUAAGGAGGAAAAGCAUUUUUUAUAAUAAAAUACUUUAUCUGCAUCUAUACUAU
rnacentral:lncRNA from 1 species